rnacentral:rRNA from 1 species
GCACAAGCAGAGGAGCGCGUGGUUUAAUUCGACGGCAAUCGAAGAACCUUACCAGGGUUUGAAAUGUAUCUGCAUGCCCUAUGAAAAUAGGGAGGCCUUCGAGGGUGAUACACAGGUGCUGCAUGGCCGCCGUCAGCUCGUGUCGUGAGAUGUAGGGUUAAGUCCCGAAACGAGCGCAACCCCUAUUCUAUGUUACAAGUGUCUUAGAAAACCGCCUCGGUAAAACGAGGAGGAAGGUGGGGAUGACGUCUGGUCCGCAUAGCCCUUAUGUCCUGGGCUACACACGCGCUACAAUGGCCGAUACAGUAGGAAGCCAAAUCGUAAGAUGGAGCUAAUCCUUAAAGUCGGUCUCAGUUCGGAUUGAGGUCUGAAAUUCGACCUCAUGAAGUUGGAUUUGCUAGUAAUCGUAGAUCAGCAAUGCUACGGUGAAUACGUUCUCGGGUCUU